UACGAAGGGGGCUAGCGUUGCUCGGAAUUACUGGGCGUAAAGGGCGCGUAGGCGGACAGUUUAGUCAGAGGUAAAAGCCCAGGGCUCAACCUUGGAACUGCCUUUGAUACUGACUGUCUUGAGUUCGGGAGAGGUGAGUGGAAUGCCGAGUGUAGAGGUGAAAUUCGUAGAUAUUCGGCGGAACACCAGUGGCGAAGGCGACUCACUGGCCCGAUACUGACGCUGAGGCGCGACAGCGUGGGGAGCAAACAGG
rnacentral:rRNA from 1 species